CCUCGGUGAGCUGCCAGCCUGCGCUCUGGAUCCAGCCGGGCGCGUCCCCUCCCACCCUCGCGCCGCGGCUGUCGCCGGCCCCGGCCCCCAGUGACGCCCAGGCUCGCCUCCUGCCUGGGUUCCAGGGGGCUGCACCCGGCCAGCGCCGCCCUCCGGAGCCCAGGCCUGUGCCCAGGGCACCCUGGAGGCCCAGCCUUUCUUGCCCGGUGGCGGCGGUUGGGGCAGGGUCGGACCUAGGCCGCGAUGGGGGAUUAGAAGACCUACCUGCCCCAAGUAGCUCGGACAGCUCACCCUCCCAGACACGCCUGGGCUACCUCAUUUCGUCCGCAUCGACUCUGCUGACAUCCCAGGGGAAGCGUCAGCAUUUCGGGAGAGCACCCCUUGCCACCCGACUUUGGGAACUGAGAACCACCUGCCCGCAGGUGAACUACUCCGCAGAAAUGGCAACACCAGCCCCGGGGGCUGAAAGAAAAUGUGUCUACAGCUUGGAGCUGGUGGCGCAGUGGGUUACAAACACUGAUAUUCCACGGGUUCCACCUCCUGUCACCUCAGUUCAAUGGUUUUAUUCUGGUUUGUAAACAUGUAACAAAUGUAUAUCCUCUCUGGGUGCGGAGAAAAGUGAGAGUAUAUUAUGGCAAACACACAGAUCUGGGGAGAGCUGCUCCGCAGGAGACAGCAGGCCGCAGCAUGGGCGACCGCAUCUUCCCAGCUCUAGCUUAUGAGACAGAAACGACGGAAACGGGGUCAAGGGAGAAGAAAAUGAAAAUGCUAAGAAUUUAUGAAUAAAAGCUAGAAUUUUAGAGAAAUACUUUAUCACCUUCUGUUCACAAACCACGAAAAGACAUAUGAUAUCGUUGGUACCAAAGCAUGUGAGAAGACCUCACCUGUAGAAGGAAGGACAAGCCACCACCACCCCUAUCCUUGGAAUUCCCAAGGUGGCAGCCGGAGCGACCAUCCACUCUACUGAGUGGAUUUGGGGCUGGAAACGAAGUAUCAGGCUGGAAAGGACCCUGCCUAUCAUUCCACCCAACGUUGUCCAGUGAGGUAACAAGGCCUAGGCGCCCGUGACGGCUAAGGCAGAACCUAGAGGCCCACUGCCUGCUCCAGGACCAAGGGUCUGUAUGCACAAAACUGGGCACCUGCCUGCCCUCUUCCUCACAUCCCACUCUACCCACACGCUAUUUCCUUCAAUGAGGAAUAAAGUGAGCCACCCGAAGGAUAGAGUUCAACAGAAAAUAUUGGCUGCACUGUGCCACUUACUUCAUUUUAAAUAAAAAUGGAAAUGUAUUCACUGACAUCACUGAAAAGUUAAGGAUAAAGGUCCUCUUCAGGCAUGGCUAGACCCAGGAGCUCAAAAGGAGUCUUUCGAGCAGGUGUCUCUCCAGUCCUCCUCCGUGUUCCCCUGUGUUGAUUCUUUUUCCUUCUGGCAGCCUUGGACUCACAUCCUUGGUUUAGAUCCUGGAAAGGAAAAGGUACAACUCUUUCCCAGUAACUCUAACCAAAGCCUGGAGCACGCACCCUGGAUCAAGGACUGCAGUCCAGGAGGAGGGAACACACCAGUGGAUGUGGCCCAGGGGUUGAAAUCGGGAAGGGUGGUUCUCCAAGAAGAAUCCAGGAUCUGUCACCAAAAGAGCAACUCUAACUGUUUCUUGUUUCUCUUUCUUCUCUGCCACAGGCAGGGCCGAGGCUGAGCCCCAACCCAAGAUGAGCCUUUGGUUUAGUAGCCUGGGACCUGGACAUUUGGAAAGAGACAGAUCAGACUGGAAGCCUCUCCAUCCGGCUUCCACAGAUUACCUUUGUGUUACUUCCUUUUCCCCUAGUCAAGACUUGCUUUAAGUUUUAAGGUGGUAGGAAGGAGAUAUUUUAGUAAAGUAUCCGAUGUAUCUUUUUGGUGCUAUGCUAAUUAUUACCAAGAGCCUCAGUGGUUUUGACUGCAGCCUCCACAUUUUGCACCACCAUGAUGGGGUUUAGCAAUAAAGGGCUGUCUGCUGUCCAGUAGGAAAAAACAGAUUAAUAGACAUUAAUAGAGCCUUCCAGAACACAGCCAUUAAACAGCAACUCACCAUAAUUGAAUAGCAACCACUCUACCUGCUAAUUUCACUCACCAGGUGAUAAGUUAAUUUUACAGUUGAUAAUUUAACUUCUAACACAUAAAAAUAUCAUUUGGUUGAGUCGACUGGUAACUUUCCUUCAAAUGUGGAUUUUUAUUGAAAAACACUGGAAUUAUGAAAAGGAAGGUAAUGUUUACCACUCAUAUCAGACAUGUAAGGCCUACUUUGAGCCUAUUUCUUCAUGGACAUACAUCAUGGCUAAAUUCCACUGAGUGGAAAAUAUUGGCUGCACUGUGGCACUUACUUCAUUUUAAUUAAUCAGAAGGAGAGAUUUUUUCAAAGAAUAGCAUGUACUUGUGUCUGCCUGAGAUGAAUUCCUCUUCCAGCAGCAGUGACAUUUCAGGUCCUCUCCUUUCUAUUCUUCAUCAAGAUGACUGCAUCCAGAGAAGAACUCAAUUAUUUCAAGCAAACAGAAGGCAAUAACUUGGCAGUAAUUUUGAAAUUGCAUCCUAAAAUAUUCUCUUUUUUUUCCCUUUAAGGGCUUUGAAAUAAAAUGUGCCACCAAUUAAAAUGACUUUUGAGUGAAUCCGAUGAGCAAUAUAUCAUGGCAUUAUUAUCUUUGCUUGAGUAAGGCUAAUAACCUAAAAUGCAAAAGGGAGCAUCCCAUUUAUUCUUGAAUAUGAUGAGUAAAUAAAGACCAG
rnacentral:lncRNA from 10 species